UACGGAGGAUGCAAGCGUUAUCCGGAAUGAUUGGGCGUAAAGCGUCCGCAGGUGGCUGUGUAAGUCUGCUGUUAAAGAGUGAGGCUCAACCUCAUAAAGGCAGUGGAAACUACAUGGCUAGAGUGCGUUCGGGGCAGAGGGAAUUCCUGGUGUAGCGGUGAGAUGCGUAGAGAUCAGGAAGAACACCGGUGGCGAAAGCGCUCUGCUAGGCCGCAACUGACACUGAGGGACGAAAGCUAGGGGAGCGAAUGGG
rnacentral:rRNA from 1 species